rnacentral:tRNA from 1 species
GCGAGCGUAGUUCAAUGGCAGAACACUAUGCCCUUCUCUCUCACUAAUACUAUUAUGCAGGUUCGACUCCUGUCGCUCGCA